GAUUGAAUGGCUCAGUGAGGCCUUCGGACUGGCCCAGGGAGGUCGGCAACGACCACCCAGGGCCGGAAAGUUGGUCAAACUCGGUCAUUUAGAGGAAGUAAAAGUCGUAACAAGGUCUCCGUAGGUGAACCUGCGGAGGGAUCAUU
rnacentral:rRNA from 9 species